rnacentral:rRNA from 1 species
ACGAUAUAGUGGCAGACGGGUGAGUAACGCGUGGGAACGUGCCUUUCACUACGGAAUAGCUCCGGGAAACUGGUGGUAAUACCGUAUACGCCCUUCGGGGGAAAGAUUUAUCGGUGAAAGAUCGGCCCGCGUUAGAUUAGCUAGUUGGUGGGGUAAUGGCCUACCAAGGCGACGAUCUAUAGCUGGUCUGAGAGGAUGAUCAGCCACACUGGGACUGAGACACGGCCCAGACUCCUACGGGAGGCAGCAGUGGGGAAUCUUGCACAAUGGGCGAAAGCCUGAUGCAGCCAUGCCGCGUGAAUGAUGAAGGCCUUAGGGUUGUAAAAUUCUUUCAACGGUGACGAUAAUGACGGUAGCCGUAGAAGAAGCCCCGGCUAACUUCGUGCCAGCAGCCGCGGUAAUACGAAGGGGGCUAGCGUUGUUCGGAAUUACUGGGCGUAAAGCGCACGUAGGCGGACUAUUAAGUCAGAUGUGAAAGCCCGGGGCUCAACCUCGGAACUGCAUUUGAAACUGUUAGUCUAGAGGUCAGGAGAGGUUCGUGAAAUGCCGAGUGUAGAGGUGAAAUUCGUAGAUAUUCGGUGGAACACCAGUGGCGAAGGCGACGAACUGGACUGAUACUGACGCUGAGGUGCGAAAGUGUGGGGAGCAAACAGGAUUAGAUACCCUGGUAGUCCACACCGUAAACGAUGAGAGCUAGUUGUCGGCAGGCAUGCCUACCGGGUGACGCAGCUAACGCAUUAAGCUCUCGCCUGGGGGAGUACGGCCGCAAGGUUAAAACUCGAAGAAUUGACGGGGGCCCGCACA